rnacentral:misc_RNA from 1 species
CACCUUUCUGCUCAACACCCACGAGGUAGGCUUUUUCUUCAAAUACCUCCCUUCCAUUUCGAAGCUUGAAUCUAUUCUCGAAACUAUCUUCGUCUGGUCUCUUCUUCUUAACUCUGGUUGAAGAAACUAAGGUCUUAUCUUCUGAUACGGUGCCUCCAGGAACGAGGCCAUUGACCUCUUUAUCCUCUUUCGUAUCGAUUACUGGACUUGGCAAGGAAACAUUCUCAGGGGAUACAACUUCAACUCCUUGUUGGAGAACUCUGGUGAUGAAUCUGGACGAAUUCGUAGUGUGCGUAGUGAAAGUAAGGGGGAAACUCGGUUUGCCAGGGUUUGGACUCCUCGGUAAACAUCGCCCGUGAAUAGGAGAAGAGAGUUGAACCAGAGAGCAAUAGCACGCAAUCAUGGCGAAACUAGAGUGGGAAUCUCAGUCUCUGUACUGUUUCAAGACACUUCCAUUCCUUCACAACCUUCAACCUUGCUGUGGAAGGUUCAAUAUGGAU